rnacentral:rRNA from 1 species
AUUGAACGCUGGCGGCAUGCUUUACACAUGCAGGUCGAACGGUAACAGGUUAAGCUGACGAGUGGCGAACGGGUGAGUAAUGCAUCGGAACGUGCCCGAUCGUGGGGGAUAACGCAGCGAAAGCUGCGCUAAUACCGCAUACGAUCUGAGGAUGAAAGCGGGGGACCGUAAGGCCUCGCGCGAUCGGAGCGGCCGACGGCAGAUUAGGUAGGUGGUGGGGUAAAGGCCCACCAAGCCGACGAUCUGUAGCUGGUCUGAGAGGACGACCAGCCACACUGGGACGGAGACACGGCACAGACUCCUACGGGAGGCAGCAGUGGGGAAUUUUGGACAAUGGGCGAAAGCCUGAUCCAGCAAUGCCGCGUGCAGGAAGAAGGCCUUCGGGUUGUAAACUGCUUUUGUACGGAGCGAAAAGGUCCUUUCUAAUACAAGGGGCUCAUGACGGUACCGUAAGAAUAAGCACCGGCUAACUACGUGCCAGCCGCCGCAGUAAUAC